CCUACGGGGUGCUGCAGUGAGGAAUAUUGGUCAAUGGACGCAAGUCUGAACCAGCCAUGCCGCGUGUAGGAAGACUGCUCUAUGGGUUGUAAACUGCUUUUGUACAGGGGUAAACGGAGAUACGCGUAUCUGUCUGAAAGUAUCUUACGAAUAAGGAUCGGCUAACUCCGUGCCAGCAGCCGCGGUAAUACGGAGGAUUCAAGCGUUAUCCGGAUUUAUUGGGUUUAAAGGGUGCGUAGGCGGUCGGAUAAGUUAGAUGUGAAAGCUCGAGGCUCAACUGCGGAAUUGCCUCUGAUACUGGUCGGCUAGAGAGUAGUUGCGGUAGGCGGAAUGUGUGGUGUAGCGGUGAAAUGCUUAGAGAUCACACAGAACUCCGAUUGCGAAGGCAGCUUACCAAGCUACUUCUGACGUUGAGGCACGAAAGCGUGGGGAGCAAACAGGAUUAGAUACCCGGGUAGUC
rnacentral:rRNA from 1 species